AAUAGAGGCUCAAGGCAUUUCUGGCUGUGUAUAAUUCACAAGGUUUGCCUGAUAAUUGAAGUAAAACAUUGGAACAAACUUGAAUUUAAAACCGACUACAAACUUGGCUCAUCACUGACUUCCAGCUUGAAAUUUUUGUCAUUUCUUAUUGUUGUAUACUGUGGCAGAAUCAGUCAGAAGACUAUCAGCCUAGCAGAAAGAUGUGACCGAUUGCUUUAAAAAUAAAUGAUACUAGGACUGAAUCAAGAAAGAAGAAGGUUCAUUAAAACUCUGGAGAAAAACCCUCAUCAGUCCCUCCAUAUUGCUUUGACAAUGCCUAAGAGAGAGUUAUAUAUUAUGUUUAUUUUUAGAGCCAACCAAUCUCUUUUAACUUAGACUGCAGGAUGAAGAAAGCAGUAACAUUUUCAGAUAGCUCUUAAGUUUAGUUUGAAUGAACUGAAUUGUUUCUCUCUUUUGGAAACUUUUGUUCUUUACUUUGGACACAUUUUCUUCAGAAUUAACAUAGAGAAAAAUUACCGUGUGUUUUGGACCUAUAGAUUCACUUGCUCUUGUAAUCAAUAAUGUACGUGAACUAAAGUCAUAAUAAAGCAAAGCUGACUAUGA